AGAGUUUGAUCAUGGCUCAGGACGAACGCUGGCGGCGUGCUUAACACAUGCAAGUCGAGCGGUAAGGCUCCUUCGGGAGUACACGAGCGGCGAACGGGUGAGUAACACGUGAGCAAUCUGCCCUUCUCAUCGGAAUAACCAUUGGAAACGAUGGCUAAUGCCGAAUAUGACCUCGGAUCACAUGUUCUGAGGUGGAAAGCUCCGGCGGAGAAGGAUGAGCUCGCGGCCUAUCAGCUUGUUGGUGAGGUAAUGGCUCACCAAGGCAUUGACGGGUAGCCGGCCUGAGAGGGUGACCGGCCACACUGGGACUGAGACACGGCCCAGACUCCUACGGGAGGCAGCAGUGGGGAAUAUUGGACAAUGGGCGAAAGCCUGAUCCAGCAACGCCGCGUGAGGGAUGACGGCCUUCGGGUUGUAAACCUCUUUCAGCAGGGACGAAGCGAAAGUGACGGUACCUGCAGAAGAAGGACCGGCCAACUACGUGCCAGCCGCCGCGGUAAUAC
rnacentral:rRNA from 1 species